rnacentral:rRNA from 1 species
GAUGAACGCUGGCGGCGUGCCUAAUACAUGCAAGUCGAGCGAACAGAUAAGGAGCUUGCUCCUUUGAAGUUAGCGGCGGACGGGUGAGUAACACGUGGGUAACCUACCUAUAAGACUGGGAUAACUUCGGGAAACCGGAGCUAAUACCGGAUAACAUUUAGAACCGCAUGGUUCUAAAGUGAAAGAUGGUUUUGCUAACACUUAUACAUGGCCCCGCGCCGUAUUAGCUAGUUGGUAAGGUAACGGCUUACCAAGGCGACGAUACGUAGCCGACCUGAGAGGGUGAUCGGCCACACUGGAACUGAGACACGGUCCAGACUCCUACGGGAGGCAGCAGUAGGGAAUCUUCCGCAAUGGGCGAAAGCCUGACGGAGCAACGCCGCGUGAGUGAUGAAGGGUUUCGGCUCGUAAAACUCUGUUAUUAGGGAAGAACAAAUGUGUAAGUAACUGUGCACAUCUCGACGGUACCUAAUCAGAAAGCCACGGCUAACUACGUGCCAGCCGCCGCCGUAA